CCCUUAGAUGUUCUGGGCCGCACGCGCGCUACACUGAUGCAUUCAACGAGUCUAAAACCUGGUCUGAGAGGGCUGGGUAAUCUUUUGAAAGUGCAUCGUGAUUGGGAUAGAUGAUUGCAAUUCUUCAUCUUCAACGAGGAAUGCCUAGUAAACGCAAGUCAUCAGCUUGCAUUGAUUACGUCCCUGCCCUUUGUACACACCGCCCGUCGCUCCUACCGAUUGAACGAUCCGAUGAAAACUGUGGAUUGAGAGUCUGAGUGGGUUCGCCUACCUCAACUUUCGAGAAGCGGUUAAAUCUUAUCGUUUAGAGGAAGGAGAAGUCGUAACA
rnacentral:rRNA from 1 species